ensembl:lncRNA
GCAUGAUGCCCCCGAAGGAAUCUGCGCUUCUUAUCUCAAUUAGCUCACGCAGAAAUGGCUUUGCCAGGCAAGUGAUAGAAACUGCUUCCUAUUCCUUCUAAGCGUGACUGAACUAGAAAGAAAACUUCCGUUGAUGUCUUUGGGUGCAGUGCUGAACUCUUGAAUGGAAACGUGCCCAAAGCAUAAAUGAUGGAGCAGGUUGGGGGAAGGGGUGCAUUCUGCAGGGCAGCAGGGCUGUAGCUGUGGGUGCCUGUUGGAGCCGGUACUCAUCCUGCCUGCCUUUCACAUCUUGGAGGCGUUUCAUGGUUUUUGUUUAGCCCAUGCAUGACCACGGUUCAGCUCAGCAGCUGCGUAACACCGCUGUCUAAACCAUGGAUGUUAUGGACAGGUGUUCUGACGAACUGGAGUUUGUUCUUCAUUCCUCUGUUGCAAUACGUCCCAGCGAGGUCAAAGCCUGAGCGGUCUGCGUGCUGAGCCAACCUCUCACAAUUUGCUUUUUGUUUUUGGCCAAGAGAUUAUAAGGUGCAUGAAGGUGAGGUGUGCUCACCAAAUCAUUGCUGAUUUGCGUUGGGUGUAAGGCUGCAAGCAUCGCCAGCCUUUUAUGUAGGUCACGUCUUAGUUUUUGUGUCAUCGCAUGCUUGGGGCACUACAAGACAGAAAAACAGGUACCACGUUUUAUCUUUUUCCUCUACCCUCUUCUGCCCUAGGUACGUGACCUAGAUUAGUUUGCGAGCAAAAAUUAUGGAGCUCACAAAUGGGAAAGCUGCAGGUACUCUAUGCUUACUGCCUUUAUGGACGCACAGACCUAAAGCUCUCUAAAGGGGCUCACAAAUCCACAUGGGGUUCCUAAAUGCUGCAUCCUGCAUUUGGGUCAUUGGUUAGCUGAGAGCAGUUCUGAAGUCACAUACAGGCUAACAGCUUCCUUUUGGCUAGGUAGGAGAGAAACAUCAUUGAUGUGUUUAUUCCAAGCUUUGUAUGGGAUAUAGAAGAAGAGCUCACCCAGAUGUGUUUGUUUGCUAGAAGCCAGCCGUGGAGGAGAUCUGCACAGGAGUGAGGGACAUAGUAACAGCCCUUGCAAGGACAGCGUCUUCCCCUCUUGUGGAGCCCAUCUAUCAUCACAGUGCUGCCAUAACCAACGGGCUCCUCUGCAGUCUUGAUCCCUGGUCAGCCUGGCAUGCACUGUGGUAACAAGUGAACCUUCCCCAUCCUUGCUCAGCUCCAUCGUAUGCACUGCAGGUAGCAUAUAGGCAGCCAGCUGAACUCAGCAGGGCCCAGAGUGAGCAGGGAAACGAUUCCAAGGCAACAUCUCACAUGCCACCAUACAAGAAAGCAAACUUUCCAGAGAUGUAGGAUAUGUCACCGACCCUGGUGGUGUUUAAAGAGCGUUUGGAUGUUGUGCUAAGGGACGUGGUUUAGUGGGAACCAUUGGUGAUUGGUGAAGGGCAAACGGUUGGACUGGAUGAUCCUGUGGGUCUUUUCCAACCUUAGCGAUUCUAUGAUUCUAUGAUUCUAUGUCCCUCACCCAACAGCAGCACAACGUUCUGCGUUCUGCAGGCCUGCAUUACGCCCUCACCCUGCUGUCCCCUGCCCCUGUGGUUUGCUUCAGCUGUGGAAACAGGAACUGCUGAGUCAGCGUGCUGGUGUAACUCACACUGCUCUCAUGGGGAGAGGGCUGCAGCGAGGGGGCUGGCAGCAGCUCACAGCCUGCAGGAAAACAAGUACUUACAUUCUCUUGCAGUGGCCUGAAAAAAUAAAUAAUCUCUUUGCUUAAAAACUCAAAGAGGUAGCAAGAACCCGAAGUGUAAGUGUGAGGGGAAUGAUCAGAUCUGUCAGAUGUGCGCUGACGAUCAAGCAUUUAGAGUUUGGCCAAUGUCAUUUUUCUGUUUGCUCUGUUAACAGCCCAGUUAUGCUUGAAGAAGCCAAGAUGCAGCUGGCUGAACAGACAGAACAAGGCCAUCACAUUUGGCUCAUCUGCCUGGUGCCGAUAGAGAGCAGCAGCCUGUUCUGAUUACGGACUCGUGCAGAGGUGAAAUUGCUCCCUUGGAACCAGUACAAGGUGCCCUCACAGAGAGUCAGGAGACAGAUUCUGCAACCCAGGAAGAGAAAGUGUUUGCUGUUCCCCCGCAGUGCCACACCUUUGAGACAUGCCCAGUUCGUCAAGACUGCGUGAUGGGAAGGCAGGAGGUUUACUGUGCCUGGAAGCCAGAAUGAAC